rnacentral:ncRNA from 1 species
CAUUUGAUUAUGGUUGUUGUAUAACUCAGUGCAGACACAAUAUCAUGUGGCUGAGAAUCCUCACCUAAUCAAGACGCCCCCUGCUUAGUAGCAAUGACGGAUACGUUAUUGCGGCAGUGCUUCCCACUCGUGAGUUUGGGAACAACGAGAAAUAAAGCUCUCGCCGGCCGGGAGGAUGUACUGGAAUUAUCGCUAUCAAAACUACUGUCUCGUCGCCGUCGCAAUAGAAGGCAAGCGUUAAAAGCGUAGCCCGAAUCUUGAUAAGGUUUAGGUUUGGUACCCUAUGCAGACUCAAGAAAUACCACCAAGGCGGUUUGUCAUGAGGUUGCAGUAAUGUAACUAUAAGACGAGAUCAAGGUACAAGUAGCCCAAGACAAUGACAUUUAGAAGAAAAGAUGCAAAAAUCUUUACUAAUGUGAAUGAUGGGUGAACGUUGCGGAUAACCACUUCCGCAUAGGCAAGUGUACAGCAUAAACUGUUACGGCAUAAAGUCUAGGGUCGCUCCCGAAAGCUCACUUAUGUCGUCCUAUUGAGUGAAUAUGAUAGAAGGUAAUGACCAGCAACCCGAAGGGGUAUGCGACAAUCAUAAUCAAG